CAAGCAGCCAGGAGGGAUUGCACCAUGGUCAAGCAAUCACAGAGACACAGUGCCUGCAGAAGUGCCUGUCUGAGCAGAAUGAAUGAACUCAUGGGAGGUUACAAGUGUCAAAUGCUAUUCACAGGAGAAAUUUGAAUGCUGAAAAGAGCCUGUGUCCAUAUAGAGUCC